GUGCUUUCUUCUGCAGCACGUACACUAAAAUUGGGACUAUUCAUAGAAGAUCGAAAAGGCCUCAGCGCAAGGAUGAAAUGCUAUGCAGUAUUCCAUUUUUUAUUUUU
ensembl:snRNA U6 U6 spliceosomal RNA